rnacentral:rRNA from 1 species
UACGGAGGGUGCAAGCGUUAUCCGGAAUCACUGGGUUUAAAGGGUGCGUAGGCGGCUAUGUAAGUCAGUUGUGAAAUACCUCGGCUUAACCGAAGGAAGUGCGAUUGAUACUGCGUAGCUUGAAUCAGGUUGAGGUAGGCGGAAUGUGGCAUGUAGCGGUGAAAUGCUUAGAUAUGACAUAGAACACCGAUAGCGAAGGCAGCUUGCUACACAGUUAUUGACACUGAGGCACGAAAGCGUGGGGAGCAAACAGG